rnacentral:misc_RNA from 1 species
ACGAGGAACAGCAACCAUCUCUUCAAAGAUUGGAAGAAUGCCAUGACUUUCUAAAUCUCUCGUGUCAUCCACAUAACAACACUAAAAGAAGAAUAAUAAAUUAUGAGGAAGAAGAGAAGGAAGAGGAGGCUUCUUCACUCGAUCUAAGUCUCUCUCUGUCUCUUCCUGGUUCCUCUUAAUUCCGGCCAAAAUCUCGUCACUAUCACAUUGCUCUACCCCAUGAUAGGUUCUUACAACUGCAAAAUGCUCGAAAUCAUCUUCUCCGCAAAUCCAAUUUGGGCUGCUGAUAAACUAAAAUUCUUUUUAUCAUGACCUGCUUGACUCAAAGCUGUUCUUUUUUGGUGUUCUUGGACUGGUUCUCUUCUGGUUUGUUGUUCUGUGGCAAUUGAUUUCUUCCUUUGAAGCCACUUUUGGUUUUGGAUCUGUGUUAAUCGUGCUUGUAUCAGGUCUAUCGUUGGAGAGCUUGUGGAGACUUGGGUAUUGACAUUCUGUGUUUGUUGUGCCCUGCUGAUAACUUUGGUUUCUCUUGCUGUCAAAUUUUUCAGAUUUGUUAGCCUAUUUGCUUGGAUUUUGCCUUUGGAACUUUAUUUGGGUUUGCUUCUUCUCUUUGAGUUAGCAGGUUGUGUCAAUUUUAGCAAGCGUCCAGCUAUGUUGCUUUAUAUUUCUCUUUAGUAUUGCCAUCAGGGACGUCCUCCCGUUGCUUUGUUUCAAGCUUUGGGCUUUCUUCAAUCGGCUGAAGAUUUUUUGGCUGGAGAUUUGGUUAGAUCGGUCAUUAAUCCUGGAUUUUUUGGGCUGGAGUUUCUGCUUUAUUUGGCUACUAUAGAAUGCUAGAGAUUUUGCAUUUUGUGUUGUAACCUUCUUGUGGUUGUGAAUUAUAUGUGUGAUCCAGUUCUGCGAAAGUUUGCUGCAUAAUUAUCCGGGUCAAUUGUCAGCGGCAUCACUGCUUCUAUGAGUUGGGCUGAUGCUUUUAAAGGGCCUUUUUCUACAGAAAUUGCUGCAUAUUUUCAUGCUUCCAUAUGGGACUAUUCAUACAUCAGAUCUUAGGCUUCGUUUUGGUGAUUAGUUUUUCUAUAUUGUUGGUUCUGUUUUCUGUCUAUUGUACUGCAAUUUACUGAUGUUGUGCCUGUGAUGGAUGGUUUGUACAUCUGUCCAAGUUUUUCUCUUAGCUUGAUGGAUGGUCAGUUGUUUGGUUGCUUGAGUUUGUUAGUAUUGG